AGUGAACGCUGGCGGUAGGCCUAACACAUGCAAGUCGAACGGCAGCACAGUAAGAGCUUGCUCUUACGGGUGGCGAGUGGCGGACGGGUGAGGAAUACAUCGGAAUCUACUUUUUCGUGGGGGAUAACGUAGGGAAACUUACGCUAAUACCGCAUACGACCUACGGGUGAAAGCAGGGGAUCUUCGGACCUUGCGCGAGUGAAUGAGCCGAUGUCGGGUUAGCUAGUUGGCGGGGUAAAGGCCCACCAAGGCGACGAUCCGUAGCGGGUCUGAGAGGAUGAUCAGCCACACUGGAACUGAGACACGGUCCAGACUCCUACGGGAGGCAGCAGUGGGGAAUAUUGGACAAUGGGGGCGAGCCUGAUCCAGCCAUACCGCGUGGGUGAAGAAGGCCUUCUGGUUGGAAAGCCCUUUUGUUGGGAAAGAAAAGCAGCAGGUUAAUACCCCGCUGUUCUGACGGUACCCAAAGAAUAAGCACCGGCUAACUUCGUG
rnacentral:rRNA from 1 species